GUGUUGUAAGAAAGGAGAGAAAGCUUAGCACUUCCCUUAAAAGGACAGAAGGCCCACUGGGCAUAACACCUUCUAUAAUGUUAAAAAGCAUUGUCACACACUUUGCAACAUCUAACCACUUA